rnacentral:rRNA from 1 species
CAGUAGCCGCGGUAAUACGAGGGGGGCAAGCGUUGUUCGGAAUUAUUGGGCGUAAAGGGUGCGUAGGCGGCUUGACAAGUCUUGUGUGAAAUCUAUGGGCUCAACCCAUAGUCUGCACGGGAAACUGUCGGGCUUGAGAAUGGGAGAGGUGAGUGGAAUUUCCGGUGUAGCGGUGAAAUUCGUAGAUAUUCGGAAGAACACCAGUGGCGAAGGCGACACACUGGCUCAUUACUGACGCUGAGGCUCGAAAGCGUGGGGAGCAAACAGGAUUAGAUACCCCAGUAGUCCCUGUCUCUUAUAC